UGAGCAGUAAAAGAAGCCGCCGCUGUUCAAUUGGCGGUCCACUAAAAGAUGCCGUCGUUGCCCACCUUCUCAGAAGGUGCUCUGUAGCGUCUUCUUCUCUAUUGGAUUGCCUUGACAAGUGCGGUGUUGCUUCACUGCAAUGAAGACUGCCUGCAUCCUGAGUCCUCUAAUAUUCUUCUAACAUUGUCAGAAGGGACUAUGAUGGAACAGCGGGCUCACCCCUCCACCAUCACUCUUAUUUGCUGCUAUUCAAGUGUUUCAUAAUCUGCUUCGAUGUAUUUUCUUCUUCUUCUAGAGAAUGGGUUUUCAUUUAUUGUAUUUUAUUUUUGCUAUUGAACUGUUUGAUGAUUUGCUUCAAUAGAUUCCUUUUUCGCUUAGUUUUCUAGCUAAUUAGAAAUGUUAAUCACAGCUAUUGGGAGUUUGGUUUUUUUUUUUUUAAUUGAAUUUUCAUUAUUUUACUUGCCAUGGCAUUGGAAGAAGCUUGCACUUUUGGUGGGACUUGAAGAAGUUUACUCAUAUGAGAAAGAUGCUGAUUUUGAUGCAACAGAGGGGAACAGGAGAAGUGGUUGGAUUUCACUGCAAGAGGGCAGUAACUAAGGUGUUGCCCUUGUAAGAAGCUUGCACUAGAGAAGUGGGUUGGAACUUUAGGAACCCAAAUCUGGUCUUAUUAAAAAGGUGUUGGCAUUGUAAAACGCUUGCACUAGUGAAUUUGUGGGAACUAUGUAACAAGGCUGAGUCUGUUCUUCAUGGAAAGGUAAAAUGUCCUUUUCUUUAGUCUGAUUAGUAUUUGCUACAUAUGAAUCCUAUAAAUGACUUGUCUGCUAUGCUUAACUGUUAUAAAGUUGUAUGAGCUAUGAGGUAGCUUCAUUUGCCGCAAAAUGCAACAAUGCAACAUUACUGUAAACAACAACUACAUAGAGUUUGUGUGAAUUGUUUGACUUGUCUGUUCUUUAAAACCAAUAUAAACUUGUACGAGGUAGCUUCACUUGCCGCGCGCAGAAUGAAACAAUGCAACAUUACCGAAAAGAACACAACUAAUUAGAGUUUGUGUGAAUAGUUUGUCAGUUCUUUGAAUCAAUAGUUGUAGG